GUUCAGUUUCUAGGAGUGUCGGUCUGGUUUUGGUUUGGUUCCUAUAAGUGGAACCGGUGUCCGGCCAGUCCGUCCAUUUCCCCGUUCCUUCAAAAUAUUAGUAAAAUUCAAACUAAACUGGUUCCAUUUUAUAAACACGAUUUUGGGUUCUCUAAAAAAAAUUAGCAAAGCGUGAACUAAAUCGAUUCCAGUUUAGAAAUAGAAAUAUGUCUCUUUUUAUUAUGCUCUCUUUCACUUUGGACAAAGAAGAACAAAUUGAGGAACAGAAACAUGUCUCUUUAAUCACGAGCAAGAGUUGCUCCUUCUUAAGUUCAAAAAUCCUUUUGCCUUCUUCGAGGCUUCUGUCAUAUGCUGUCCAAGAUAUCGCUCACGGGACAAAUUUUGAAGGUUGAUCCAUGCGUCGACCUCUCUUCUCCAAUUUACCAUUUCCGUGCAAAUUGAAUAAAAAGCGGGAAACAUAAGCUGCAAGAACAACAGUUCAAUGCAAAGAUGGGAUUAAAAGAAACAUCCUGAGGCAUCAAUCCGUGUGGUUCAAAUCAUUUGAGCAGAGUCUAGUUUUGGGCACCUUCAACUUCUCUGUAAGGAAUGCUGGAUUAUGAAAUCUGCCUGCGUCAAGCCCAUUUCUCGCCCUCGUGGAAAGCGAGUCCAUCAAGUAGCUACUUCGCCAGGGGAUGGAAGAUGCUUUGUUCCCAGCAUCACGUCUAGUGGCUUCCCACACGCGGAUCACAGCGGUCGGAGUAGCAGAGCGCGGCAGAGUUGCCACACGAUGUGCUUUGCUCCGGAGUAAGAGAAGUUCCCUCGACAAACCCAUCUCAAGUAGUAAUUCAUCCUCGCCAACGGUGAUGACGGCGCUUUCACUGAGCUCUUCAAAGCAAUUGAGUUUGUCCUCCCUAAAAUUUCGUUCGACAACUUUUGAUUUCAUACUUGUAAGGACAAACUUUGCCAUAAUUUCACAUGUCCAUUGCCCCAAUUUAACUUCAUAUUGAUAAUUUUUCUUUGUUA